rnacentral:rRNA from 1 species
UACGGGGGGGGCAAGCGUUGUUCGGAAUUACUGGGCGUAAAGGGCUCGUAGGUGGCCAACUAAGUCAGACGUGAAAUCCCCAGGCUCAACUUGGGAACUGCGUCUGAUACUGGAUGGCUUGAAUUCGGGAGAGGGAUGCAGAAUUCCAGGUGUAGCGGUGAAAUGCGUAGAUAUCUGGAGGAAUACCGGUGGCGAAGGCGGCAUCCUGGACCGAUAUUGACACUGAUGAGCGAAAGCUAGGGGAGCGAACGGG